rnacentral:rRNA from 1 species
GGCUCCACCAUAUUUAUUUACACGAAGAUAGAGAUAUUUAACAAUUUAGUAUAGAAAUAGACUUAAGAAAAUAAGUGCAAACGGUGGAUGCCUUG